rnacentral:rRNA from 1 species
UACGUAGGGGGCGAGCGUUGUCCGGAAUUAUUGGGCGUAAAGCGCACGUAGGCGGUCCUGUAAGUCGGAUGUGAAAGCCCUGGGCUUAACCUAGGAAGUGCAUUCGAAACUGCUGGGCUUGAGUUCUGGAGAGGAAGGCGGAAUUCUCGGUGUAGAGGUGAAAUUCGUAGAUAUCGAGAGGAACACCGGUGGCGAAGGCGGCCUUCUGGACAGUGACUGACGCUGAGACGCGAAAGCGUGGGGAGCAAACAGG